rnacentral:rRNA from 1 species
CCUACGGGUGGCAGCAGUGAGGAAUAUUGGUCAAUGGACGCGAGUCUGAACCAGCCAAGUAGCGUGAAGGAUGACUGCCCUAUGGGUUGUAAACUUCUUUUAUAUGGGAAUAAAACAGGGUAUGCAUACCCUCUUGUAUGUACCAUAUGAAUAAGGAUCGGCUAACUCCGUGCCAGCAGCCGCGGUAAUACGGAGGAUCCGAGCGUUAUCCGGAUUUAUUGGGUUUAAAGGGAGCGUAGGUGGAGUGUUAAGUCAGUUGUGAAAGUUUGCGGCUCAACCUUAAAAUUGCAGUUGAUACUGGCAGUCUUGAGUACAGUAGCGGUAGGCGGAAUGCGUGGUGUAGCGGUGAAAUGCUUAGAGAUCACGAAGAACUCCGAUUGCGAAGGCAGCUUACUGGACUGCAACUGACACUGAGGCUCGAAAGUGUGGGGAUCAAACAGGAUUAGAUACCCCUGUAGUC